GCCUGUUGGGAAGCUAACAGAUGUAUAAGAAGCUCAGAAACCUCUAUUUUUCUAACUGGGGAAUCUCUUUCUCCACAGGAUCCAAGUUCAGGCAGAGGUCGGAUCCUUGUUCCCUCCCAGUAAGGAUCAAAGUCUGUUGAAACUGAGUGAUGCUUACAGUGGGAAUUAGAGCCUCAGCUUAUGACAACAGAAACUGAAGAGACUUUGCAGCUCUCCUCAGUGCAAUGGUAUUGAUUUCCAAAACUUUGAUGACUCCCUAAAACAAAGUUCCUGGAGAUCCUGGUGCUAACUUCCCUAUGGUGCUUCCACCAAAACAUGAGAGAGGUGGAAAGGAGAAGGCUUCAAGGAACAGGAGGCGUGAUGAACUUGCAGUAACUUCAAUGUCAGUUCAGGUAACCACUGAGACCCAGUGCUAGCUCCAGGGAAGUCUGUCUCCUGCUUUCUUCUGCCCACUGACAGCACCCCAGGCAUGAGGAGGGGAAACCUGGACCCGAACAGCCAAAUCAAUCUGCAUAACUAAGAAACAAAUCAUGAGAGAAACUCCCGAGGACCAGCUGAAGAUAACACAGAACCACACCUGUGCUCAGUUUUGCUUCCACAGCUCCAUCAGAUCCUCUUGAAGAAGCUGGCUGCAGAUUCCUCCAAAUACCCCCACAAGUGGCUGCUGAGAAGUUUUUCUCUUUCCCCUCACAAGGUGUCAACUGAGUUUUUGUAGGAGGUGAGGUGACAGCCUCAUCAAAGAGUUUGACUCAAUGAAAGUCUUCGUGAAAGCAUCCAACUUUCAUUCACUGAGUUUGGUGAAUGAAUGAUGCAUGGAGGAGCUACUGUUUCUUUUAGGUACAGUUUCAUGCAUUUCUUCCAGCAAGCAGAAGCCACGAACCAGAGUGAUGUGGGAAUUACCACAUAUCUGAACACAGAGUGGAAAUCUGUGACACCAGGACCCACAAACUGAUACUUUGUUGUAAAAUCCCACCCCCUGAAAGCUCUCAGAUGUAUGCAAAAGUGAAAUAAAUAAGAGAUGA